rnacentral:tRNA from 1 species
GGGCUCGUAGCUCAGUUGGUUAGAGCGCUUGCAUGACACGCAAGAGGUCUCCAGUUCGACUCUGGACGGGCCCACCA